UACGAGGGGGGCAAAUGUUGUUCGGAAUCACUGGGCGUAAAGGGCGCGUAGGCGGGUUCUUAAGUUAGGUGUUUAAUCCCGGGGCCCAACCCCGGACCGGCACUUAAAACUGGGAAUCUUGAAUAGUGGAGAGGUCGGUGGAAUUGGAGGUGUAGCGGUGGAAUGCGUAGAGAUCUCCAAGAACACCAGUUGCGAAGGCGGCCGACUGGACACAUAUUGACGCUGAGGCUCGAAAGCAUGGGGAGCAAACAGG
rnacentral:rRNA from 1 species